GCCGAGCGGUGCGCGAGCGCGCGCGGGAGGCGGAUGCGGAGCGCGCGGAGCGGGGAGGUGCGGUGCAGGCGGGCCGCGGGAGCCGGAGGGGAGCGCGGCGCAGCCGUGCGGGGCGCGAGUGAGCGGUCCCACACGGGCGCGCGCGGCUCGUGGGCGUGCAGGCGCGCAAGCGCUGGUAGCAAGCGGAGCAAAGCUGGGGUGCUAGACUGGUGCGGUGCUGGAACAGGAGCAGAGCAGGGAGCUUGAGGAGGCUGGACAGCGCGGAGAGACCUGCGGCGCGGUAAGACCGGGGCGAACGCGUGUCCAACAGCCGGAAGAGGAGGAGCAGUUGCGCGGCACGCAAGACAAUGACGUACAGGUGUGCGUGUGAGGAUGCGGGACCGGCGGCGCGAAGUGGAACGGUCUGUGCGAGCUUGAGCGCGAAGCUCGCGGUGCUGGAACGCGCAGGCACACGUAUGUGGAGGUGUCGACGAGGCUGUCGACGAUGACGCAGGAGCGGAGCUCAGGGCUCGCGAUGCCGCGGCGCGACGGCUCGGCCCGGACCCGCACGGGGAAAACAAUGGAGCCGCGCGUGAAGGACGUCGGAGAUCGUUGAGGAGGAAGCCACGGACGAAGUCAAGCGGCACUGCGAACUGCUCGUGGAGAACUGAGGUGGCCUGGCACGGACGGCAGCGGAAGGUGUGAUCCUGAUGCAGGCAGGCCUCGGUCCUCGUGGAGGCAGAGGAACGGUUAUGGCGUGACGAGCCAGAAAGAAAGGCGGCGAAGCGGACGUGGUGACCGGAUGCAACGAGCUCGGAGGAGCCACGCACGGCGAGCUCCCUCCACCCAUGCAGAGGCCGAAGCAAAAGCAGCGCGACACGGGACUGACGGCCAACUCAGUUCGUUUCCGCAGGCGCCUGCGCGUGCAAGGCAAUAGACCACGCGCGAGCAGGUUAAGAGCCAGUGGUGUGGGAGCAGUACAAGAAUAGCGCGCAGGAGAUGCGACCAGACACGGUGAUCCUGCAGGAGGCUACGCGGGUAUGCCGGAUGUGUUUCAGCAACACACGUGCGUGAGCAGAGAAGGCUCAGCUCGUGAGUAGGAGGAUCUUGAGGUUCGCGGAGGAGUUGGCAUAGCGAACCCAUCCGGCCCUAUCGUUUCAUCCCAGGGAUCCACGGCAACCAUUUCUGGCGAACUCCUUCGUUAUCCACGGAAUCUCGUCAUCAUCGAGCUUUUCUCUUCGUCGAUCCUGUUCGCCACGGGAAAUGACUUUUCACCCGUUCUUCUCCAUAACCAAGGCUACCCCAAGGUUUGCCCUGAUCCACUGAAUCUUCCUAGUGCCGGCGACCCCUUUGCCGGAACAUCGUCGUUAUCUUCCUGUUCUCUGUUUUUCCCCGACCAGGGACUUAAUUGCUUCAAUUUAGAAAGUUCUAGGGUGUUUUCUAUAAGAUUUCCAGAACUUUCUUUAUUUCAAAUCAAUGAACGUUUACAAGUUUUAUGUUAUGAUCUUGAAUUGGAAUCUUUGAUUUGUGAUCUAGAUUGAAUACUAGGAAAUGAAUGCUUUAUUUUAUACCUUGAAUCGUAUACAUGUAUUGUAGCUAAAGGGUUAAUCAUAGGAUAAAUGUCUUAGGCAGAAAGGUGUGAGGUCUAGUUAAUCCUUUCACACGAGUGUUCCUAUCUCUGCCAUCAAGACAUUGUCCUUGUCUUGAUUUCAGUCUUCUUAAGAUCCUUUUCAUAUAAGAAUCUUUGAUAGUUCAUGUGCAUCUGUUGCUUAGCCAAUACAUCUUGGUAGCUAUACUUCAGUAUCGGCUGUCAGCUCAGCUGCUAAGCAUCGUUUAUUUUAAGUCUAAGAUGUUUUUGUGUAACAGCUGUCAGCCGAUGCACUUCUUUUGAUAUGCUUCUACCAUCGACUGGUUAAUUGAUACGGUUGUUAUCUUUCUAAUAUCGGCUACUGCCGAUACAACUCUUUGUUUUGUCCUACAUCGGCUGCACAUAGUCGAUGUAUUGGAGAUGCACACACGAUAUUAAGAUUCUUACUAUCGACCGAUCCAAGCCGAUUUUGGUUGCUUUUCCAUAUCGGUUAAACACGGCCGAUCAAUCCUUAGUUUCCCCAUCCUUAUCCACAUACUUCUAUCAGUCGAUUUAUCGACUGAGAGAUCGGCUAUAUAUCUAUCGGUCAUAUACCCUUAACCACACUCCAUUCGGCUAUACGUCACCCAAUAGUUGUGCUGACGUAAUCGAGUCGAUACAACCACACCUAGUUACUUAGGAUAACACUUAAGCACAUCUCAGUUAAGACAACUGCUUUAGGAAUCACCCCUCUGUUGAGGUAAUCAAUGCUUUCAUCGAUCGUCUAGAAACCCGAUGCACUCAUCAAUCGGCUAAACCCCUGUUGUUCCAAUCGGCUCUGUUGUAAUCUUCAACGAGCAGCCGAUUCUAAUUAGUUAUUCCUCUAAAGCUCUGUCUAAGUUUAGUUUUAGAUCUUUUUGGUUGUUAGGUGAGUAGUAUGUUAAAUGAGUGUUGGAUUGCAACUUUAUUGUGAAGUAAGAUAGUUUUAUAUGCACACUUUGAAUGUAAUGUUGCAUUGCAUAUAGAUACGACUACUUCUGCAAAUGGUACCUACAAGAUCUCCCCGGAGUCUGCAGAGGAUGUUUCUGAAGACCAAGUCAACAUCACCAACGGAUUAACUGAAGCCCCGAACCAAAUUCGGAAGAUAAUAAUACUAACAUCCCUGACUUCAGCCCCACCAGUAAAGGCAAGCCCCGGACAUAUCCCAUUACUUUAUUUACACUACAAUCUACGUCUAUUUAUAUUAUAUCUUGCAUUAAGUCUAGGAGUUGAAGUGAAACCCUAGUUGCAUGAGAUCUUAGGAAUCCAAUGUAUUGCACCCGAGUCCUUAUCGUUUAGAUGCUCUGCUAAAUAGGACCGGUAAAAGUCGGGUGAUUUCCUAUCACUCGCGCGAUAUAGGAGUUGCUUGUUUACAAUUCUGUAACCACUAUAAGGUUGACGGACAGGGUCAUGUACUGUAUCAUGACCUGGAGUUUUACCCUGUCUGUUUUGACUAAAGCUGAUAAGGUCGCAGCAUGUGGUAGUGGUGUCUAAGCGUUUGAAAGUACAAGCCACAUACCGCGAAAUAUGGUAAGCGGUAAGCCUAGUACCCGAAUGGCCCGGCAAAUGGACUUGUCUCCACCACUCGACCUUUUAUUUUAUGUUUACACGCACCGACGUGUGGGAGUACGUUCUGCAUGGCAGACAGGAAUAUGGGUUUUGUAGUCGUGCUACAGACGUAUGUCCUGCACACAUAGGGUGUGCGUACGGUCCUGCAGUCGCUUGUGGUGGCCCUGAUCCAUAACCCGGAAUAUGAGGGAAAUGGUUGCUUCGGAAUGCCCUGUUGGUAUUCCAAGCGUGUGAGUUAGGUUUACCUUGCAAGGUUAAAUUCGAUUCGGAUCGUCCGCCUCUCACGAGGAUUGAGACUGCUUAUCCCUUUUACCACAGAGAGUAAAAAGUGAAAUUGUUGAUAAAGUAAUCUUGAUGAAUGAUAAUUUCUAUCUUGCUUGUUUAGUAUAGGUGCUUACCUAGAUGGCUAAUCAAACUAGAAUCUGAAAGCUAAAAUUUGAAAGUAGUUUAUACUCUUUGUUGCUUUUCAGCUGAAAAUAAACCCAGGACCUUUACAAUGCCUCCAUGAGUCUAGUUAUGGGCUAAAGUAUAUCCAAUCCCGGGUAAGCCUUGCUGAGUAUUAGUAUACUCAGCCUUGCUAGUUUUAUGUUUUUCAGGUGAAGCCUUUGAAGACCCUACUCUUUCCCUGUCAUGGCCCUGUGCUCUUCCAGAAGAUUGGUCCGUGGAAUGGGAUCCGUCCUCGGCCAACAUUGAUGAUAUCGAGUGAUGUCGUGCCAAGGCUUAGCAUGACAUCCGGCUUGACGACAUGCUAUAAAUCAUCGCGUAUGUUUUCCGCUGCUAAAAACCAUAACUUUAACAGUUUGUAAUGUUUUCUCUAAAUUUCAAACUUUGCACUAAUGUUAGAAACUCUUAUAAUGUAAUUCCUUGUGAUGUAAAAUAUGAUGGUGAUUGUAUCUCUGGACUCACCUUCGUGUGAGGUAACCUUAUUGAUCCUAUAUUCGGUGGUUUAUCAGGACGUUACCCGACAGGCCAAGGGAUUAUACCGUUUGAAGCACGUUGGAGCCCUCGGGAGUGGACUCGCGUACUUGAGCCAGUAUAAUUUAGGUUGGUUCUGCCACAGCCGCUGUGCCACGCUGCCUGAGGCCCCUGCCUGCUUCUCCUGGCCUCCACGCGUCGCCCCUGAGCUCGCCCACUGCCUCACCUUCUUCCUGCUGGCCUUCCCCGAGCGCGCCACGCCGCCAGACUGGGCCGCCCCUCUGCUGCCGCAGGCCGCCGCCGCUCACUGCCGCUGCCGCUCUGCUGGUGCCACCUCCUGCUCUGGCAGCUCCCACGCGCCGCGCUCAGGCCGGCCGCCGCCCUAGUUCUCUUCCUCUGGCCUUCUCCCGCGCGCUCCACGUUGCCCCACCUCUGCCCGAGCUCUGCUCGGCCGCCACGACGCGCCGCCAGUAAACAGCAGCUGCUCCGGCUUGCUGUGCCUCUUCUUAGUCCCACAGCAUGACCCAGAGCUCUCUUCGACUACUUAUAUCCGCUCGCACGACCGCAAUUCGCUUUCUCGACUUCUUCUCCACGGGACCACUGCCGCACUCGCCGUCAGCCGUCGACCACCAUGCUGUCGUCAGCUCACCCCACCCCUUCUCAAGCCACACCAUUACCUCCAGUAGCUUCACCAUGAUUCCGUGAAGCUCACCAGCUCCUCCAUCGCCGCCCUUGAGCACUGCAUCCACCUCACCGAUGAGCUCCUCCCCUCGCCGCCGUUCCGGGUCGCCAUGGGAGCCCAUCCUUCCGGCCGUCUUAGCUCCCGACAAGUAGCUUGGGACAACCGCCUUGACCCCCUGGAGCUUUUCCCCUACCUCCGGUCCACUGCCGAUGAGCCGCCACGCCGGAACACCGCAUCGUAGUUGAGCUCUAUCGCCGCCGCCUCGGGUCGUCGCCGUUCCACCCCCUCCGGUCAAUCCCGACUUGCACAGCACCCCCAGCAAGGUUCCCCCUAGCCCCCAGGUCCUUCCUGGCUAGUUCCCCCUCACCGUUGGCAACCACCGUCACCGGAAUUUGACCAGCGAAUCUCGGCUCCUCUUCCCCGACGAGCCAGGGACUUGAUUGCAUUGAUUUAAAUUUUCCCGAGGGCUUGCCUGCAAGAUUCCAGUCCCUCCUCUCAAUUCAAAAUCAGUGAUCUUUAGAAAUUUGUAAGAAUUUGUAGGAAAUUUAGAAAAAUGUCAAACCAGUUUUGUUUAAAUCCUUGAAGUAAACUCUACAACUUUUAUGUAAUAACCUUGAGCUGAAUAAGUGGAUAUUUGAAUUAAAAUAAAUACUAGGAAAUGGGUGUGUUAAUUAGAUCUCUUGAUCCAUAGCUAUGCUGUUAUUAAAAUUUGAAACAUAGGAUGUAUGUCUCAUGAAUAGCUUUAUGAAAAAUUUAUAGACUCAGAACUACUUCCUAGCUAUGAUGUUCAAGUGUCUUUGUUUUAUAUUGAUGAAAGAUUUAGGAUUUAUUCAAGGGUGAUUCUGUUAGUGUUUGUAGCUAAACAUUUUACCCUAACCUUCUUUCAGCAUGUGUAAACCAUGAUAAAAUUUUGAACAUCAGUAGCAUAGAGUAGCUUAAGUUAUGAAUUUAGGCUUAGAUUCAAAGAUAAUUCAUGAAUAAUAGUUCUGGUUUAUGAAAAAUUAUGAAAUUAAAUUAGAGUUUUACUUUUGAGUAGUGUAAGAUUUUCACAAAAUUUAAGCACAAGAUCUUAUGUAGAACUACUGAUAUAAAUAGAUCUUAAUAUCACAAUGCUGUUUUUGUUCAUUUUAUAGCAUAAUUGCUAUAAGGUUAAAAAUCUUGAUAAAAUCAUAGUAGCUUAGAUUGAUAUCAUCCUUUUUCCAAUAAAAUUUUUAUCCUUAGAUUUGCAGUAGACCCAACUAGAAAAAUAGUUCAUGAUCCAAAUAUUGUUUGAUUAAAAUAAUAACCCCAACUCUUAUUGAAUGAGUAAUUAGUUAAUUAAACCAACUAAUAAUGUUUAAGGGAAUUGAUUAGAUAAAUUAGGAUCUUUUCCAAUGCUACUUACUGUAAUUAGUUUAGUUGCUUAGAGUAACUCAACUUGUCACUUAAUGCAAUUAGGUAAUUAUGAUUAUACUCGAUAAAUGAUUGCCCAGUAUAAGAAUAGAUGACAUGUCUGCUAAAUAGAAUGUUUGUUUAUUAGAUUGCAACUUUAUCGUGAAAUAAAUUUCUUAAAUCAACGACCAUUGCUUCAAAUCACUGCAUAUCAUGUAGAUUCGACUACACUGGCCGACGGAACCUACGA
rnacentral:lncRNA from 1 species